CAAUCUUACAGACUUGGUACUGUGAAGUAAAUAAACUCCUGAUUGUAUUGUGUCACAUUUAAUGAUUAUCAUAUAGAAAAACUCAACAGCGAUGUCUCUUUCUACAAAUCAUGACCUGGUUACUGAAGAUGAUCCACAGAGCUGGUUGUGAGCAGUUUCAUGAAGGGACUAUUUUCUUUGUACCGUAUCACGGUGCAGAUGGAAGCGUGCAUCGCCCCGUGGACAUGAGGCUCAGCCGAGCAGGACGCCAUUAAUGAUUACAUCUACAGCCUCUCGUCCAUGAGUCGAUGCACGCUUCCUUCUGCGCAGUGAUAUAUUUGUUGGAUGUAGUUUGGUGAAAGAAAAUAGUCCCUUCAUGAAACUGCUCACAACCAGCUCUGUGGAUCAUCUUCAGUAACCAGGUCAUGAUUUGUAGAAAGAGACGUCGCUGUUGAGUUUUUCUAAUGUAUUUUUGGGCGCUUUGAGCUCCACAAGUGAAGCAGCAGCUAGUUCCAUUAUACUGGAGAGAAGACAGACACCUCUACAGCCCAUAUCUCCAACACUCAACUCUCACACAGAUUGAUAAAUCGCUCUACAGCUCAGAGGUAACGUGUGCACAUUUCGCACCAACAGGAUCGUAGUGUACGGACAGAGCAUGCUGAACACCAUCGUCCCCGGCUCGGCCAAAUCCUUCAACUUCCAGACAGAGUUCGACCUGACGGAUGAAGAAACUCUGAGUGUCAGUGACCACUACCCUGUGGAGGUGGAGCUGAAGGAACAAAAAGCACAGACUCAAAGGAAGCCGGCUCAGCCCCGAACAGCGAAGACAGCGAAGACAGCGAAGACAGCGAAGACAGCGAAGACAACGAAGACAACGAAGACAACGACGACAACGAAGACAACGAAGACAACGUCCACUAAAGGACAGAAGAAAGGUAUUUACUGUUUGUACCUGACGAAGGCUUGAGGCCGAGACGCGUCAGAGUUUGUUUCUUUAUCCAAAGAGCACCUCCAGGAAGUCACUU
rnacentral:lncRNA from 1 species